UGCUGGCGGAGCCUACACAUGCAGUCGAACGGUAACAGGAAGCAGCUUGCUGCUUCGCUGACGAGUGGCGGACGGGUGAGUAAUGUCUGGGAAACUGCCUGAUGGAGGGGGAUAACUACGGGAAACGGUAGCUAAUACCGCAUAACGUCGCAAGACCAAAGAGGGGGACCUUCGGGCCUCUUGCCAUCGGAUGUGCCCAGAUGGGAUUAGCUUGUAGGUGGGGUAACGGCUCACCUAGGCGACGAUCCCUAGCUGGUCUGAGAGGAUGACCAGCCACACUGGAACUGAGACACGGUCCAGACUCCUACGGGAGGCAGCAGUGGGGAAUAUUGCACAAUGGGCGCAAGCCUGAUGCAGCCAUGCCGCGUGUAUGAAGAAGGCCUUCGGGUUGUAAAGUACUUUCAGCGGGGAGGAAGGCGACAGGGUUAAUAACCCUGUCGAUUGACGUUACCCGCAGAAGACGCACCGGCUAACUCCGCCCACCCCCCCACACGAUGAUUAA
rnacentral:rRNA from 1 species